rnacentral:rRNA from 1 species
GACAGAGGGUGCAAACGUUGUUCGGAAUUACUGGGCGUAAAGCGCGUGUAGGCGGCCCUGCAAGUCGGAUGUGAAAUCUCCGGGCUUAACCCGGAAAGGUCAGCCGAUACUGCGGGGCUAGAGUGCGGAAGGGGCAACUGGAAUUCUCGGUGUAGCGGUGAAAUGCGUAGAUAUCGAGAGGAACACCUGCGGCGAAGGCGGGCUACUGGGCCGAUACUGACGCUGAGGCGCGAAAGCUAGGGGAGCAAACGGG